AUUGAACGCUGGCGGCAUGCUUUACACAUGCAAGUCGAACGGUAACAGGUCUUCGGAUGCUGACGAGUGGCGAACGGGUGAGUAAUGCAUCGGAACGUGCCCAGUCGUGGGGGAGUAACGCAGCGAAAGACUGUGCUAAUACCGCAUACGAUCUCUGGAUGAAAGCGGGGGACCCGUCGGGCCUCGCGCGAUUGGAGCGGCCGAUGUCAGAUUAGCUAGUUGGUGGGGUAAAGGCCCACCAAGGCGACGAUCUGUAGCUGGUCUGAGAGGACGACCAGCCACACUGGGACGUGAGACACGGCCCAGACU
rnacentral:rRNA from 1 species